CUGGCUCAGAACGAACGCUGGCGGCGCGUUUUAAGCAUGCAAGUCGGACGGUAGGGUGGUGCUUGCACUACCUGAGAGUGGCGAACGGGUGAGUAACACGUAGAUUAUCUACCUUUGGGAGUGGGAUAGCCUGUAGAAAUAUAGGGUAAUACCGCAUGAGGCCUGUUGAAGAGAUUUGGCGGGUGAAAGGAGCAAUUGUUCCGCCUGGAGAUGAGUCUGCGGUCCAUUAGUUUGUUGGUGGGGUAAUGGCCUACCAAGGCGAUGAUGGAUAGCCGGCCUGAGAGGGUGUACGGUCACACUGGGACUGAGACACGGCCCAGACUUCUACGGGAGGCAGCAGCUAAGAAUCUUCCGCAAUGGGCGAAAGCCUGACGGAGCGACGCCGCGUGAACGAUGAAGGCCGAGAGGUUGUAAAGUUCUUUUCUUGGUGAAGAAUAAAUGUAUGAGUGGAAAGCGUACAAGAUGACGUUAGCCGAGGAAUAAGCCCCGGCCAAUUACGUGCCAGCAGCCGCGGUAACACGUAAGGGGCGAGCGUUGUUCGGAAUUAUUGGGCGUAAAGGGCGUGUAGGUGGUUUUAUAAGCCUGGUGUUAAAAUCUCUGGCUCAACCAGAGUCGUGCGCUGGGAACUGUGAGACUAGAGUUCAGGAGGGGAAGCUGGAAUUCCUGGUGUAGGGGUGAAAUCUGUAGAUAUCAGGAAGAACACCGGUGGCGAAGGCGAGCUUCUAGCCAUGGACUGACGCUGAGGCGCGAAAGCGUGGGGAGCGAACAGGAUUAGAUACCCUGGUAGUCCACGCUGUAAACGAUGUGCACUGGGCGUAGGAUUCUUAUAGGAUUCUGUGCCCGUAGCUAACGCGUUAA
rnacentral:rRNA from 1 species